rnacentral:rRNA from 1 species
UACAGAGGUGGCAAGCGUUGUCCGGAAUUAUUGGGCGUAAAGAGCUCGUAGGCGGUCUGUUACGUCUGCUGUGAAAACCCGGGGCUUAACCCUGGGCUUGCAGUGGAUACGGGCAGACUAGAGGCAGGUAGGGGAGAAUGGAAUUCCCGGUGUAGCGGUGAAAUGCGCAGAUAUCGGGAGGAACACCGGUGGCGAAGGCGGUUCUCUGGGCCUGACCUGACGCUGAGGAGCGAAAGCGUGGGGAGCGAACAGG